rnacentral:rRNA from 1 species
GACGAACGCUGGCGGCGUGCCUAAUACAUGCAAGUCGAACGCACUCUCGUUUAGAUUGAAGGAGUUUGCUCCUGAUUGAUAAACAUUUGAGUGAGUGGCGGACGGGUGAGUAACACGUGGGUAACCUGCCCUAAAGUGGGGGAUAACAUUUGGAAACAGAUGCUAAUACCGUAUAAAACCUAACACCGCAUGGUGUAGGGUUGAAAGAUGGUUUCGGCUAUCACUUUAGGAUGGACCCGCGGUGCAUUAGUUAGUUGGUGAGGUAAAGGCUCACCAAGACCGUGAUGCAUAGCCGACCUGAGAGGGUAAUCGGCCACACUGGGACUGAGACACGGCCCAGACUCCUACGGGAGGCAGCAGUAGGGAAUCUUCCACAAUGGACGAAAGUCUGAUGGAGCAACGCCGCGUGAGUGAAGAAGGUUUUCGGAUCGUAAAACUCUGUUGUUGGAGAAGAAUGUAUCUGAUAGUAACUGAUCAGGUAGUGACGGUAUCCAACCAGAAAGCCACGGCUAACUACGUG